AUGCCCUGGCUAGCCUGUACGAUGACCUUGACGUGGACAGCACAGAGGGAGAGGUCCCAUUGUUCACCAAGGUGGUGGAUUCCACAUCGCUGCCCAUGACCCUGCCCAUCACCAAGAGAACAAAAGAGCUGUGCACACAGGACGAGGCAUGACUUGAUGUUCACCAUGUUGUCUUUUCUGAAAUCGCAGGUGGCCCGGCUGGAAAAAAAGAGUGGCGGCUUCCGGGGCAGCCGUGUGCAACAGCCCGUUCGGGGAGGACCCGCACAAAGGGGCAGUGGCCAGGGAACAGAUGGGGCCAAUUCUCUCCAUUUCUCCAUGGAGAUCUACCAUUUCCCUGCAGAUACUGUGUCUAAGAAUGCAACUGGCCUUCUCCCAGGGAAAUCCCACACCCACCACUGGUCCUUGCUGGGGCUCCUGGAGGUGGGCCCAAAAGGUGUCCUAUCCCAGGGGGAAUGAGGUCUUCUUCAGGGACUGAGCAUCACUGGGGGCACCUGGGCCCCCUCCAUGUAGGAACGAAGGGUGCUCUGUGCAUUGCAAGGUGGCCAAAGAGAACCUCAAACCUCAACAUGGGUGACAGGACAAUCACCACCCAUUUCGCUGGCCAUCUGUCCAUGCAAGAGGGCCUUGUUAGAUUCGGAAGGCUUGGGCCAAUAGACAACUCAAGGGAGUUCAGUGCCUGGAAAUGGAAACAGAGCCAAAUCAGGGUUUCAGGUUUCUCUGGCAGCCAACAAGACUUUCUCUCAUGAGAAACAUGUAUUGGAACAGAAUCUGAUUUUC